GGAAUCUUGCACAAUGGAGGAAACUCUGAUGCAGCGAUGCCGCGUGAGUGAAGAAGGCCUUUGGGUUGUAAAGCUCUUUUGUAGGGGAAGAUAAUGACUGUACCCUAAGAAUAAGGUCCGGCUAACUUCGCGCCAGCAGCCGCGGUAAUACGAAGGGACCUAGCGUAGUUCGGAAUUACUGGGCGUAAAGCGCGCGUAGGCCGUUGAGUUAGUUAAUUGUGAAAUCCCAAAGCUUAACUUUGGAACUGCAAUUAAAACUGCUCGACUAGAGUUUGAUAGAGGAAAGCGGAAUACAUAGUGUAGAGGUGAAAUUCGUAGAUAUUAUGUAGAACACCAGUUGCGAAGGCGGCUUUCUGGAUCAACACUGACGCUGAGGCGCGAAAGUAUGGGUAGCAAAGAGGAUUAGAUACCCUCGUAGUCCAUACCAUAAACGAUGAUUGCUAGAUGUUGGAAAUUUAUUUUCAGUAUCGCAGCUAACGCAUUAAGCAAUCCGCCUGGGGAGUACGACCGCAAGGUUAAAACUCAAAUGAAUUGACGG
rnacentral:rRNA from 1 species